rnacentral:snRNA from 1 species
UGCGGGCGCCCUGGCUGGGAAGUCUGUCACCCCACUGAUCGCCAGGUUAGGUUGGGCUGAUCUGGCUGGCCAGGCAGGUGAGUCCGUCCUCGCCCACCCCA